CCUACGGGAGGCAGCAGUGGGGAAUUGUUCGCAAUGGGCGCACGCCUGACGACGCAACGCCGCGUGGAGGACGAAGAUCUUCGGGUCGUAAACUCCUGUCGAGCGGGACGAACCUCACACGGGUAAACAGCCCGCGUGACUGACGGUACCGCUAAAGGAAGCCCCGGCUAACUCCGUGCCAGCAGCCGCGGU
rnacentral:rRNA from 1 species